rnacentral:rRNA from 1 species
UGGGGAAUAUUGCACAAUGGAGGGAACUCUGAUGCAGCGACGCCGCGUGAACGAAGAAGGCUUUCGAGUCGUAAAGUUCUUUUAUAUGGGAAGAUAAUGACGGUACCAUAAGAAAAAGCCCCGGCUAACUACGUGCCAGCAGCCGCGGUAAUACGUAGGGGGCUAGCGUUGUCCGGAAUCACUGGGCGGAAAGGGUUCGCAGGCGGAAAUGCAAGUCAGAUGUAAAAGGCAGUAGCUUAACUACUGUAAGCAUUUGAAACUGCAUAUCUUGAGAAGAGUAGAGGUAAGUGGAAUUUUUAGUGUAGCGGUGAAACGCGUAGAUAUUAAAAAGAAUACCGGUGGCGAAGGCGACUUACUGGGCUCAUUCUGACGCUGAGGAACGAAAGCGUGGGUAGCAAACAGG